CACGUAGGCGGCUCGGUCAGUCAGUUGUGAAAGCCCCCGGCUCAACCGGGGAACUGCAUCUGAUACUGCCAGGCUCGAGGACGGUUGGGGUGAGUGGAACUCCUGGUGGAGCGGUGAAAUGCGUAGAUAUCAGGAGGAACACCAGUGGCGAAAGCGACUCACUGGACCGUUACUGACGCUGAGGUGCGAAAGCCAGGGGAGCGAACG
rnacentral:rRNA from 1 species